ACCUUGGAAAGUGAGUAAGUGAAACAGAAUAUGGGUUUUAAAAAUUACAGUUGAAUGCAAUGUUAGACAACGGCUAGCAAACCAACAUAUUAUGUAUUUCCUAUGUAUGCUAGCUUUUUAUUUUCCUGAACUUCUUAAUUAGCUUAAUUAAUAUCUUGUACCACUGUUGAAAAUCCUGUCCAGCACAGGGCUGACUUUAGAACAGGUCUCCCAUUGAGAAUAAUUGUUUAAAACAAAAAGUGGCGGGGAGGGGAAGGCAACCUAAAUUAUACCAACUUAGCCACUUUUGAAGUGGUAAGUGCUGCAUUAUUACAAAAGCUGCUUUUCUUUGCCUUUGUUCUGUCAUUACCCAGGAUGAGAUUGUUGUUUUAUAAACAGUGUGCAGUACUGGGUGCCAGAUGAAAGCAUAGUCAGGAGAUUAGAUUACAUUAUAAAGGAAAAGACACAGGAAGAUGCAUUGAGAAUGGAUCUGCUGCUAACCACCAGAUGUUGCAGAAAGACCCUGAUGGAUGUGACAACCUCAGCCUUAAUGUGGUAGUGAUGAGAGAGGAUACAUAACUUGUCAGCUGUUGGGAGAACCAGAGUUCACUUCUCUUUCAGUAGAGCAAGAUGUGCAUUGCUUUACACUCCAUCAUGUAGUUUGAAAAGGAGGAAACGAAGGCAAGAUGCAAUAAUCUACAGUCUUCUGGUCUUUUCAUUUUAGCUGAUUAAAUGUGGCCUGAGGGUUUCAAAUAUAAUGACCUUUAAAUCAUUGCACAUGGUAGAACUGACUGAAAUACAUUGCUUCAUACUGUUGCAAUGGUUGUGAUUGGCAGAAUA